UUAUAAAUAAGGUUAUAAGUUUUAGGCAUUCAAUCUAUAUGCUUGAUUAAGAAAAUAGAAAAUUUUCUCAAUUCCUAGAAAGAAUUUCUAGUUUGAAUUUGUUCGGUCUUGUUCAUCAUUCGAUACGUUGUCCUGCAUCAAACACACACGUAGAGAGAGAGAAUAUGUCCAUUGAGGCUGAUUUUGAUAUUUCUGUCGGCUACGCUCACUGCGUUUUUCGUAUUGAAGAAUAUCAAAUAUCACUCCGAAAUUCCUCAAGAUUCUUUUACAAAUUCAGUUGAAUCUUCCGCACCGGUCAAUCCAUCCUCUAAGGUUUCGAAGCAAUUUGUUCUCACCACUGACUAUUCUCUCUAUUAUGAAAUUGCAAGUUUGGGGGGCAAUUAGGACUGGUUUUUGCACUUUUAUCGACAUGGCAAGCGGUCUCUAUCUCUGGAGGAAUUUCGUUUCAUCUUCAUCUUCGUCUUCAUCUUCCGAGCCCACCUACUGAUAUGUUGUAGAGUUUCAUAUUCUUUCUUGUUUUGGGGCCCUUUCUUAUUUCUAUGUAGUGUGUUGCUUUUGUGCUGCUUGCACUUGAAUUUCAUAUAUAAAUUGGAAAUUUGUUUUCUCACAAUUUGUAUGCCACUGUUGGCUGUAAUUAUCUUUGCCUCUAGAAAUCUGUUUUUCUCUUUUAUCUAUC